rnacentral:rRNA from 1 species
CCUACGGGAGGCUGCAGUAGGGAAUUUUCCACAAUGGGCGCAAGCCUGAUGGAGCAACACCGCGUGAGUGAAGAAGGGUUUCGGCUCGUAAAGCUCUGUUGUUGGAGAAGAACGUGCGUGAGCGUAACUGUUCACGCAGUGACGGUAUCCAACCAGAAAGUUACGGCUGACUACGUGCCAGCAGACGCGGUAAUACGUAGGUGGGAAGCGUUCUCCGGAUUUAUUGGGCGUAAAGCGGGCGCAUGCGGUUGCUUAGGUUUGAUGUGAAAGCCUGCGGUUUAACCGAAGAAGUGCGUCGGAAACCGGGCGACUUGAGUGCAGAAGAGGACAGUGGAACUCCAUGUGUAGCGGUGGAAUGCGUAGAUAUAUGGAAGAACCCCAGUGGCGAAGGCGGCUGUCUGGUCUGCAACUGACGCUGAGGCUCGAAAGCAUGGGUAGCGAACAGGAUUAGAUACCCCUGUAGUC